GUACCCCCAGGGCCACCAAGUACCCCCAGAGGUGCCCCCAGGGCAGGUGUGGGCAAUGGGGGGCAGGUGAAGGCACCUGGCCCCUCCUGGGCUGGAGACCCCAAAAACCCCUCCUGGCCACAGCCCAGCACCCCCUGGUCCAGUUGUGCACCCCCAGAGCAGGAGCCACCAUGGGACAGCCAAGGGUGGGGCCGGACCCCAAAUGUGGGUCCUGACCCCAAAGGUGACUCCUGACCCCAAAGGUUGGUCCUCACCCCAAAUGUGGGUCCUGACCCCAAAUGUGGGUCCUGAUCCCAAGGGUUGGGUCCAACCCCAAGGGUGACUCCUGACCCCAAAGGUGACUCCUGACCCAAAUGUGGGUCCUGACCCCAAAGGUGACUCCUGACCCCAAAGGUGACUCCUGACCCAAAUGCGGGUCCUGACCCCAAAGGUUGGUCCCGACCCCAAAUGUGGGUCCUGACCCCAAGGGUUGGUCCCAACCCCAAAGGUGACUCCUGACCCCAAAUGUGGGUCCUGACCCCAAAUGUGGGUCCUGACCCCAAAUGUGGGUCCCGACCCCAAAUGUGGGUCCCGACCCCCACUCCCAGCCCCAGCCUCCACCCCAGAGUGCUGUGGGUGAGCUCCCCCGGUUCCUACCAGCAGAGGUACCGUGCUGCUUCUCUGUUGCUGUUUUUUAACAUUUAUCUCUACCAAAAGAAGUGUCUACGCUGCAGGAUGGAGGAGGCUGAAGGAUAAUUAAUUAACAUUAAUUAAUGCUAAAUAUUGCAGGAUACAACUGACCUUGCUGGCUGGUUGAAGCCCUAGGUUUUGGAUUUACAGUGACAUGGAUAACAAGCCAUUCCCAGAUUUAUCCUCUCCCCUUUGGUGAGGUCCAGAGCAGCAUUUUGGAAUUUUUGUUCUGUUUCAGUGUGCAAAAAACCAUGGCUGUAUGGAAAAGAAAGUCAAAGUUGUUAAACAGACACACACAAUUCAUUCACCUGCUUGUUCUCUUGGGGGAUUUUGUGGUUUUAGAGUUACACUGAGGUUUUGUCGGGGUUAUUUUUUUGUUGUUGUUUUUCUUCUACUGGCAGGUUUAUGGAAGAUUCUCUAUGAACUGGGAGUACUGGUGCCGGGCAGGAGCA